AAACAUGUCUUUUUGAAUUAUAUUUAAAGUUUGACCUGCCCACUGAAUAAGUUUAAAUGGCCGCAGUAUAUUGACUGUGCAAAGGUAGCAUAAUCAUUAGUCUUUUAAUUGAAGGCUGGUAUGAACGGUUGGACGAAGUAUAAGCUGUUUCAUAUAAAUUUAUAAUAGAAUUUUAUAUUUUAGUUAAAAAGCUAAAAUUUUAUUAAAAGACGAGAAGACCCUAUAAAUCUUUAUAUUUAAUAUUAACUAAAUUUUUUUGAUUUAUUUUAUUUUUUUAAUAUUAAUUAUUUUGUUGGGGUGAUAUUAAAAUUUAAUGAACUUUUAAUUUUUUUAAAUCAUUAAUUUAUGAGUUAUUGAUCCAUUAAUAGUGAUUAUAAGAUUAAGUUACUUUAGGGAUAACAGCGUAAUUUUUUUUGAGAGUUCAUAUCGACAAAAAAGUUUGCGACCUCGAUGUUGGAUUAAGGUAUAAUUUUGGGUGUAGCCGUUCAAAAAUUAAGUCUGUUCGACUUUUAAAUCCUUACAUGAUC
rnacentral:rRNA from 1 species